rnacentral:rRNA from 1 species
GAGUUUGAUCCUGGCUCAGGAUGAACGCUGGCGGCGUGCUUAAUGCAUGCAAGUCGAACGAGAACCCCUCUUUAGGUAACUAUCGAGGGACUUCUAGUGGCGAACGAGUGAGUAACACGUGAGCAACCUGCCCCAAAGACCGGGAUAGCCCAUGGAAACGUGGAUUAAUACCGGAUGCCCUCGCGGAACCGCAUGAUUCUGUGAGGAAAUGCUCCGGCGCCUUGGGAUGGGCUCGCGGCCUAUCAGCUUGUUGGUGAGGUAAUGGCUCACCAAGGCACUGACGGGUAGCUGGUCUGAGAGGACGAUCAGCCACACUGGGACUGAGACACGGCCCAGACUCCUACGGGAGGCAGCAGCAGGGAAUAUUGCACAAUGGGCGCAAGCCUGAUGCAGCGACGCCGCGUGAGGGAUGAAGGCUUUCGGGUUGUAAACCUCUUUCAGUGGGGAAGAAGCGCAAGUGACGGUACCCACACAAGAAGGCCCGGCCAACUACGUGCCAGCAACCGCGGUAAUACGUAGGGGCCAAGCGUUAUCCGGAUUUAUUGGGCGUAAAGAGCUCGUAGGCGGCUUGGUAAGUC